AUUGAACGCUGGCGGCAGGCCUAACACAUGCAAGUGAGCGAGCGGCGGACGGGUGAGUAAUGUCUGGGAAACUGCCUGAUGGCGGGGGAUAACUACUGGAAACGGUAUCUAAUACCGCAUACAAUCAGCUGUGCCCAGAUGGGAGUAGCUAGUAGGUGGGGUAAUGGCUCACAUAGGCGACGUUCCCUAGCUGCUCUGAGAGGAUGACCAGCCACACUGGAAGUGAGACACGGUCCAGACUCCUACGGGAGGCAGCAGUGGGGAAUCUUGCACAAUGGACGAAAGCCUGAGGCAGCCACGCCGCGUGUAUGAAGAAGGACUUCGGGUUGUAAAGUACGUGCGUCGGGGAGGCGUUAUCCGCAGAAAAAGCACCGGCUAACUCCGUGCCAGCAGCCGCGGUAAUAC
rnacentral:rRNA from 1 species